CAAGGGGAUAAGGGACAGAUGCUCAGGCAUAUUACGUUGACCUAACGUUGGGCACAGGUGGGACAGGAACAGUCCUGGUGAGAAGAGGGGAGCAAUGGACCAAACCUGAGAGUCUCUGGUGCACAAACAGGAGAAGACAAAAGAAGGGAUCUGCUCCCAGAGCACUGAAACCUGGGAAACAGCAGUGAAGUAACUGUCACUUUACACAAUGCCUAAGUGGAUUUGAUCUUAAGGAUCACUCACACCUGAGAGUCAAAGAGAGAAGAGUUCAAGACAUGAAUGAAGUCAUGAAUAAACAGCUGUGUAGGAGAACAAUCUGUCAUGAUUUUGAAAGAAAACAGUUUUCCUGGUUGCAUUCAAGGAACGUUGCUCCUUCCUUUCCCCAUGUCUUGACCGGCAGGAAGGCAGCUCUCGAGAUGCUUGAAGAGAUGAACUGGAGCUCAGGAAUAUCAGAAGGAAAACUAACUCCCAGCCUUAGAGGAGCAAGAGCUUCAGGCUGAAGAUGCCAUUCAGGUUGUGUGUAUCCCAGUGGAGCACUGCAUCAUCGGUGCCACAGGGUCGUGGGUUGGAACAUGAUUUCCUGGGCCAAUGGAUCCACCGGUCGACGUUACAGCGUCAUGGGAGAGACAAAGGCAACUGCUCCGAAGCAAAAUGUUAAGACCUAGAUUUGUGUGCAACAAGUCAACGUUAUCUUGUCCUGGUGGGUUAUUUACCCCCUUGUGCUAAUGUUGCAGCAGUCAUCGGUGCACAUGCCUGAAGUUUCUGCUGGAGUAAGACGUUAAUUCCCUUCCUUUGUCAGGCAAAGCUGGAGUGAUGGACUUUCGCCUAAAACAGAUUAAAGUUUUGAGCCGCUUCCCCUCCAAAUAAAACCUUGAUCCAGAGGAACUGUGGGCAGAUUUAUCUGCGGGAAAAGGGCAGCGAGAAACAGUAGGGGUUGGCACAGUCUUCAGCAGACCUACUUGCUGGCAAAAUGUACAUCUGGUUACUCUUGUUAAAUGCCUUGUUGCCCAGCAGAAUAUGGGAACAACCUCCUGCUACUCCUCUUUGAUGUCAAAGUAUAUUCCUGAUAGCAGUGUGGGUUU